rnacentral:rRNA from 1 species
AGUGAACGCUGGCGGUAGGCCUAACACAUGCAAGUCGAACGGCAGCACAGUAAGAGCUUGCUCUUACGGGUGGCGAGUGGCGGACGGGUGAGGAAUACAUCGGAAUCUACUUUUUCGUGGGGGAUAACGUAGGGAAACUUACGCUAAUACCGCAUAUGACCUACGGGUGAAAUCAGGAGAGCUUCGCACCUUGCGCGUUUGAAUGAGCCGAUGUCGGAUUAGCUAGUUGGCGGGGUAAAGGCCCACCAAGGCGACGAUCCGUAGCUGGUCUGAGAGGAUGAUCAGCCACACUGGAACUGAGACACGGUCCAGACUCCUACGGGAGGCAGCAGUGGGGAAUAUUGCGCAAUGGGCGCAAGCCUGAUCCAGCAAUGCCGCGUGAGUGAAGAAGGCCUUCGGGUUGUAAAGCCCUUUUGUUGGGAAAGAAAAGCAGCAGGUUAAUACCCGGCUGUUCUGACGGUACCCAAAGAAUAAGCACCGGCUAACUUCGUG